UGUAUAUUUUCGUUCGCGUGAUCUUAGUUUGCUAUGUAACAGUUUGAAGAGUAUGUUGAGUUGUGUUUUUAAGUGAUCGAUUCUAAAUGCUAAUUUUAAUUUCCCUUAUGAACAAAGCAAGCUGUUUAAUAUUGUUAAUGUUAUUUUCAGUUAAAAUAAGUAUCAAAUCAAGUUUCUUCGAGAGUACUGGGUACAUUGCAUGAAUUACAGUUUUCGUUAGGGACCAAUCCCCAUUUAUAUAGUCUAUCCUUUGUGGCUAAGUGGCCUAAGCGUAGUCUGGAUAAUGUUAUCGUGAGAUCGUUCGGCAAACAUAUGUUUUGGAACCAUGGCUCCAGUUUGAUCGUUGGCAUAAUUUUGUAAUGGCUAAGGGUCAAGUCGUCUUUGGUUAUUGGAAAGUCGUCGAUUUCAGUUCUUGUUGUUCCAAGCUUAGCUGCAUGAUCAGCUCUGUCGUUUCCCGUUAGAUGAAUAUGUCCAGGAAUCCAUUGAAUGGUGAAACUGUCUAUUUGCGAUCUAUUAAUUAAUUUAUAAAUGGUACAGAUUAAAAAGUUUUCAUCAUUUUUCGUACUUUGAA